AAUAAUGGGGGUUUAGUUACAUUAUAUGAUCAUACAUUGUGGCAGGCUUAUGCAAUGUAUGAUCAUUUAAUGUAACUAAACCGCCAUUAUU